CCUACGGGUGACUGCAGUGAGGAAUAUUGGUCAAUGGACGCAAGUCUGAACCAGCCAAGUAGCGUGAAGGAUGACUGCCCUACGGGUUGUAACUUUCUUUUUUAAAGGAAUAAGUUAGGGCACGUGUGCCUUUUUCUAUGUACUUUAUGAAUAGAGAUGGGAUAACUCCGGGCCAGCAGCCGCGGUAAUACGGAGGAUCCGAGCGUUAUCCGGAUUUAUUGGGUUUAACGGGAGCGUAGAUGGGUUGUUAAGUCAGUUGUGAAAGUUUGCGGCUCAACCGUAAAAUUGCAAUUGAUACUGGCAGCCUUGAGUACAGUUGAGGUAGGCGGAAUUCGUGGUGUAGCGGUGAAAUGCUUAGAUAUCACGAAGAACUCCGAUUGCGAAGGCAGCCUACUAAACUGCCACUGACAUUGAUGCGCGAAAGUGUGGGUAUCAAACAGGAUUAGAUACCCGAGUAGUC
rnacentral:rRNA from 1 species